rnacentral:lncRNA from 1 species
UCACAUUGAGGGGUCUGGUGAAGGCAGGUGCAGCAUCAGGUGCAGCUCAUCAAUGGGCUUUAAAAGGGCAAGCAUAGUCAGGAGACAGUGGGAUUCAUUCUGCUGAGAUGCUGUGAUAUUUUGAGGUUUGCUUUCAUCUGUCUGCUCUUAGCCAUUGAGGCCACUGGGCUGAGCUGAAGCACCACAGGAAACAAUGGAGGCCAUGAGAUGAUUUUUAUUCUUAGCCUAAAUAGAGACGGCAGAUACGCAAAGCCAGAAAUAACAACAGAGGUGCUUUCCAGGUCAGGACCCAGCCUCGGGACACCCACUCCUCUCACUUUUGCUCGAAAGACCGUUCAGCAUGGGAGGACACUUGUGCUAUCCGCAAGUGACAUGAGAUUCAGCUCACCUCUUCUGAAGGAACCCUGGGCAUCCACAAUGCAGUAA